CCUACGGGUGGCAGCAGUGGGGAAUAUUGGACAAUGGGGGCAACCCUGAUCCAGCCAUGCCGCGUGUGUGAAGAAGGCCCUCGGGUUGUAAAGCAGUUUCAGUGAGGAAGAACGCCUGGUGGUUAAUACCCAUCAGGAAAGACAUCACUCACAGAAGAAGCACCGGCUAACUCCGUGCCAGCAGCCGCGGUAAUACGGAGGGUGCGAGCGUUAAUCGGAAUUACUGGGCGUAAAGCGCGCGUAGGUGGCUUGAUAAGCCGGUUGUGAAAGCCCCGGGCUCAACCUGGGAACGGCAUCCGGAACUGUCAAGCUAGAGUGCAGGAGAGGAAGGUAGAAUUCCCGGUGUAGCGGUGAAAUGCGUAGAGAUCGGGAGGAAUACCAGUGGCGAAGGCGGCCUUCUGGACUGACACUGACACUGAGGUGCGAAAGCGUGGGUAGCAAACAGGAUUAGAUACCCUAGUAGUC
rnacentral:rRNA from 1 species